CAUCGGUAGGACCUCUGAGGAGAUGCUCGCUCAAGUCACGCAGCCUCGGGGCUGAUUUGUUGCUCACUCUUAAAGUCCCAGUUUGGCUGACAUUUAGCCUACCUCUGAGAAUGACACUAAAAUCAGCUCUGCCAUUAACGAGAAACAAAGCUAUUUCCAUGGUGAAAGAAUAGUCCGCUUCAUGGAAAAUUGCACUUGCACACUCGGGGAUCCUAAUUAACAAUUAGAAUUGAAAAUGUGAAAAAGCCCAAAUGCGCACUGUGUGUGAUGUGUGAAGGGAGAGGAAGUGAUGAAGAGGAUUAACACCCUGCUUCUAAUUCUGGCCAACUCGGAGGCCUUGCAUGGAAAAUCAGAAGUGACAGGAAUCCUGGAAGAGAGCCACCUGGCCAUCAGAAAAUUCCAGAGGGAUGUGGUCACUGCCAGACACACACUUGGUCAGAAGACGGGAGUGAAAACAUACCAGUAACCAAAUAUGGU